AUUGAACGCUGGCGGCAGGCCUAACACAUGCAAGUCGAGCGGAUGAAGGGAGCUUGCUCCUGGAUUCAGCGGCGGAAGGGUGAGUAAUGCCUAGGAAUCUGCCUGGUAGUGGGGGAUAACGUCCGGAAACGGGCGCUAAUACCGCAUACGUCCAGAGGGAGAAAGUGGGGGAUCUUCGGACCUCACGCUCUCAGAUGAGCCUAGGUCGGAUUAGCUAGUUGGUGGGGUAAAGGCCUACCAAGGCGACGAUCCGUAACUAGACUGAGAGGAUGAUCAGUCACACUGGAACUGAGACACGGUCCAUACUCCUACGGGAGGCAGCAGUGGGGAAUAUUGGACAGUGGGCGAAAGCCUGAUCCAGCCAUGCCGCGUGUGUGAAGAAGGUCUUCGGAUUGUAAAGCACUUUAAGUUGGGAGGAAGGGCAGUAAGUUAAUACCUUGCUGUUUUGACGUUACCAACAGAAUAAGCACCGGCUAACUUCGUG
rnacentral:rRNA from 1 species